rnacentral:lncRNA from 10 species
CGCCUGAGGUCUCGCCCGCAGGCCGGUGGCGCGGGGUCAGCUGCUGCCUGCGGUCCAGGACAGGGUCGGUUCCGCCGCGCAGCGCCCAGGCCCAGCUCGUCCAGAGUCUGCGGACAGCGCACGUCCAGGUAACGCGCUUCAAGGGGCCGCGGCUCGGAGCUGGGGGACCCCGGGCCGCCCUGCCCAUACGAGUGCGAGCGUGGAGAGCGCGGGCGGGGGCGCGGUCCCGGGGGCCGGCCAGCUGGAGGGGGCGGGAGCGCUGGGCGGGGCCUGCGCUGACCCCGGCGCUGAGUCCCUGGGGCCGCCGGGCGGAUGGCGUGGCCGGACGCGGGGGCCCCGGGCCUUCCGGGCGUGACCUAGGGCUCGGGGGCGGGGAGGCCCCUCCGGCGGGGCGGCCCUGGGUGGUCCGGCAGAGGCGGAGGCCGCUCCGAGCCUGUGAGCCCUGGGCGCCUGCGGAGGCGGGGAGAGGGCGGGGUGUGCCGCCCUGGUGGGGACCGCGGGGUCGGAGAGGGGACAUUGCCCCCCCCGAGGCGAACGUCCAACCGCGGGUCCGGGUCCCCGCCCAAGGCCGCCCCGCGAGGUGGCCUCGGCCCGGCCGUCCCCGAGGGUGGCUCGGAUCCUUUCAACCAGCGCGCUGGAGGCGAAGGGGCUGCGCCAUUCCGGGUCAGGCAGCCAACGCGGGACACGCGCGUCUCCGAGCUUGCGGCCCGCGAAACCCGGGUGACCUACCGCGCCGGUGCCCUCAAAGCCCCCACGCCCGGGCCGGUGGCCGCUGCAGCCACUGAGCCACGCGGUCUCCCCGGCCCGGUCGGCAGAAGGAGCUGGUCCGUUACUAGAAAAGUCCAGAUGCAAAGUCGGGGGUCGUGCUGCCGCUUCCUGCCAGCGCACCGCACCCACCUGGGGCCGCCACCGACCGCACAGGACGCGCCUCCUACCCCCUGUUCUGGCCCGGCCGAGAGCUGGUGCCCCC